rnacentral:rRNA from 1 species
UACAGAGGGUGCGAGCGUUGUCCGGAAUCACUGGGCGUAAAGGGCGCGUAGGCGGCCUGAUAAGUAGGGGGUGAAAUCCUGCGGCUUAACCGCAGGGCUGCCUUCUAAACUGUCAGGCUGGAGCACAGUAGAGGCAGGUGGAAUUCCCGGUGUAGCGGUGGAAUGCGUAGAGAUCGGGAGGAACACCUGUGGCGAAGGCGGCCGGCUGGGGGUGCCCUGACGCUGAGGCGGCGAAAGCGUGGGGAGCGAACCGG